UUUCCGUAGGUGAACCUGCGGAAGGAUCAUUAAAGAAUGCCCCGUUUUUUGAAAUGGGUUCUAUUCCCAAACCGUGUCUACAUACCUUUGUUGCUUUGGCAGGCCGCCCUCGGGCGUCGGCUCGCGCUGACCGCGCCUGCCAGAGGACCCAAACUCUUUUGUUUAGUGAUGUCUGAGUACUAUAUAAUAGUUAAAACUUUCAACAACGGAUCUCUUGGUUCUG
rnacentral:misc_RNA from 1 species